CACGUAGGCGGCUUUGUAAGUCAGGGGUGAAAUCCCACGGCUCAACCGUGGAACUGCCCUUGAAACUGCAGAGCUUGAAUCCUGGAGAGGGUGGCGGAAUUCCUGGUGUAGGAGUGAAAUCCGUAGAUAUCAGGAGGAACACCGGUGGCGAAGGCGGCCACCUGGACAGGCAUUGACGCUGAGGUGCGAAAGUGUGGGGAGCAAACA
rnacentral:rRNA from 1 species